UGAUAGGUGAUUUGACGUGAUAAUCAUCUGUUGGCGGCUAAAUCUCGGGGGAAAUCCUGAAUCGAAGAACUGCGAUGGUAUCUCGUCCCCUAUGGAAUCCGACGUUUCCAUCGACCCUUCGCCGUUGUUUUCGUGACCAGGAGCUCUCUUUUCCUGGUUUUCUCACUGCGAAAAAUUCGAUUUUUGGCGGAUCCCUUCUGCGUACUGGUGUACGAUACAGUGGUUUGUGCUCUUCCAGCGCGGAUUGGUGUGCUUGAGGUUCGGAAUCUCUUUUCCGGGUUCUCUUUCUGCGAACAGUUUGAUUUUGGCGUUACACUGCGGGCUGUGAUCUCGUUCAGUACGGAUUGGUGUUGUUGAGGUUCGGGAUUGGCCAAAGUUUGGGUUUUGGAGGUUAUUAGGGUUUCUUGCGCUCUGCCUGGUUUGCCUACUAUGGGUUUGUGCAAGGAUGAGACUGAGAGGAAGCAGAUGCUAACUCUUUUCCUUCUUCUCGCACUGCUGGCUCCGGAAGCGGCUGGUAAUGUGGUGCUGAUUGGGAAAAAUGUGUCUUUCUCGUUUCCGGACGUCGAAGCCAAUUUUGCUUCACCAAUAAAAAAAUCAGGUGAAUCUGGAAUAUUAUAUGUUGCAGAACCGUUAGAAGCGUGCACUACUUUAACAAAUGAGCUCGCUAAGGAUUCAGGAACUCCAUUUGUGUUGAUCAGCAGAGGAAAAUGUCCUUUUGAAACUAAAGUCAGGAAUGCACAAUAUGCUGGGUUUAAAGCUGCAAUUGUAUUCGACAAUGAAGAUAGAGGGAUCCUGAUUUCAAUUUGCAGUUAUUAGAACUAAAGAAUAAAAGGAUAGUUGAAUCCAUGCAACAGAUACUCAAAGCUGUAUGUUGGCGAAAGUUAUAGUCUAAUCGAUAGGACACAACAAGAACGUAAGCGUGUUAAUGUUGAUCCUCAUUUUCCUCUUUGAGAUUGGUCAAUUUGGAUAUGAUUGGUCCUCCUUCUAUUGCCAAUGGUUUCAGGGAAUCUAUGUCUUUGCAAUAAAUUGCUUGAGUUUGUUCUACUAUAUCGUGGUCAACGUUUAGUCCUUUGCCUUUAAGUGAUUCAUAUUUUAAUGAAAUAUUGCAGUGGCUGGAAAUUCAGUCGGCAUUCAUAUCCACGCUUUGUUCAUUUCAAAGGCUUCAGGAGCGACACUGCAGAAUUAUGCUGGCCGUGCUGAUUUAGAGUUGUGGAUCUUGCCUACCGUUGAUAACUCAGCGUGGGCAAUCGUGGCCAUUUCAUUCAUGUCACUACUAGCCAUUUCCGCUAUGUUUGCUAUGUGUUUUUUGGUGCGCAGAAAUAUUAUAAGGCGCGAGCAAUCUCCACUUCCGCACAUCCGUGAAUUUCAUGGAAUGAGCAGUCAUUUAGUGAAAGCAAUGCCGAGUCUCGAAUUCACCUCGGUCGUCGAAGAUAAUUGCACUUCAACAACAUGUGCUAUUUGCCUAGAAGACUAUUGUGCAGGGGAUAAACUUCGUGUGCUUCCAUGUAGUCAUAAGUUCCAUGUGUGUUGCGUCGACUACUGGCUCACUUCUUGGAGAACAUUCUGCCCUGUUUGCAAGCGAGAUGCAACGGCUGGCAUAAGCAUAACUAAUCUUCCGGCCACCGAGCACACUCCCUUACUUUAUGGUGCAACUCCAACAAUCAGUUCUCGGCCAUCAUCGGUUCAUUCACCUGUUGCAGCAUCUCCAGCAGUUCGUAUAUCUUUAAUGCCUCCACAGUCACAUUCAAAUUCUCGAUCUCAUUCCUAUGCUAGUUCUCCUUGUUCCCAACCUAUCCGAAUAACGCCAUUUCAUCUCCGGUCUAAUUCAAGUUUAGCAUCGGGCAUUUCUCGUAUCCCUAACCCACAUAGUUCUUACGGAUACUCACCAUCUUUGGACCUUAGAAAUUCAUCGUCCCAUAGGUCUCGCUCUUAUAUCACAUCUCCUCAUUCCGUUUAUUCACCUAUCAAUUCGAGACUCCGAUCCUCUUUCAUACCCGGUUCGAGUAAUCCAACCUCCAACAAUCUAGCUGCAUCCUCCAGUAGACAAUCUUACUUGCGACAUUGCACCGAAUCAGAGGCAAGUCUUUCUGCUCUCGCUUCCACAUAUUCUCUACCAGGAUGCUGAUCCAUGCGAUAGCUGCAGUUUCCCCGGAUAGCAAGCAUGAUUUGUGAUGAAUAUCGCAAAGUCGACUUAUUGUACGACAAUGAUACCCCCUUUGUGUACAGGCUGAUUGUUCGGUUUAUAUCGUUUUGAUCUCGUUUUGUUGUUGUUACCGCUUGCUUCUCGAAGUAGUAGUCAUCGCCCCGUGGUUGAAGUUGAAUCAUUCAAUUGAUGUAUCAGUUAUUUCAUCGA